rnacentral:sRNA from 1 species
UUUAUUGGCUGAUUGGGUGGGUAGAAGAACCCUCGCGGGUUCGACCGGAGCAGGCGAAGCCUGCGUAGGAACGUCGGAGCAAAGCGACGACGGCCCCGAAGGGGUGAGGCGCGCAGCGCCGAAUAAUCCCUCCCUCUCCGCCA